rnacentral:lncRNA from 1 species
UUUUGUGGGUCACUCCCCUAGUGAGACUGAGGAUGCUGUCAAUCUCUGCUCUAUUCAUUCACGAAACCUCUUGAUCCUUUUUCAUACGAAAUGCGAAUUACUCAGCAGAGGAAGGAAGGUGAGAGAAGAGAAAAAAAAUGUCGGAACUGCGUGAAAAGACAAAUUCAUUCACAGUGAUUUGGAACAAUCCUAAACAGACGUAUAGAUCCACAUCGAUCCACCCUUCCCAUUUCCUAGUAAAUCAUACUUUCCCAUUCGGAUAACCAAUCUACACUCCUUCAGAUCCUCUCUUCAACUUCAUGUUCCAGGGGAUAUCCACACUUUAGAACUCACUCGAUAAAUCUCAUCUCCUCUAAUAGAAGGAUUGUUCACUGUGCAGAUGUUCAUUGACUUGAAGUGUUAAGGUAGUCAUAUCCGUACCUCUGACUGACUCCGUCUCCGGAAGAAAUAUAAUUUUUAAUCUUAGUCAAGUGGUAAUGUCAAGUCGCCAGCGGCGCUCCCCUUCAACUCAUCAUGUUGUCCGUUAGGGAAAUGAAAUAUCAGCUCCUCUAUACUCCUUGCCUCAUGAUUCCUACGUGACUAAGAAAACUCUUAGGUUUCAUCAGAUGACGGGCAGUGAUUUAAUUAAUUAUUCUACCAAAGGACUUUAUAUUUGUGAAUCCAUCCCAUUUAUUUAUGAGAAAAGUACGUUUGUAAAGAGAAAUUCACUGAUUCGUCUCUUUGUCUAAGAUUUCCUGUUUAUUCGGAAAGAGUUUUGUCAGGCUCUUAUCCUCGUUUAGAUGGUAAUGUCCAAGAAGUUCAAUCCUCAGAAUCUGUAUCUUUACCAACCAAGGACUGAAUAACGAAUAAAAUGGAAGAGCUGAUAUCGUUUUGGAUCAAGAUCUUUCAAGAGAAUAUGAAUAUAUUUCAUUCAUAAAUGUCUCUUAGGUAUGUCGUGACAAAUUAUCAAGUUAAAUAGUGUUCUAUGUAUGACAGUAAUUUCGAAGAGGUUUUAAGAAAGUUACCAAACAUUUCUUCCUACGAUAGUCAAGAUAAUUUUAUUGAGGAAUAAUUACUUUAUAGCUAAAUAAAGGGAACGACAACAGACACCAACAUCAAUCAAGAAUUUCUCUUCAUACAAUUUAUAGAAAUAUAGAUACUAUGCUUAUCAGAGACCUCUGAUCUCUUGUGCAAUGGAAGCAACUAUCGAUGUUUUAAUCAUUUAUUUUAAAUUUCUAAGCAAUUUUGAAUUUCUUACUCUUGACUCAUACUUCUGAUCAAUUUUAUGAUUAUAUUUUUCUUCAUAGAAUUUGAAUAUUUAAUACAUAUAUGAUGACAUCCAGAUGGUAUAAUACAUUAUUACAAUUUUAUAUCUUCAAAGAUACGUUAGAAACAAAUGGGAUGAUGUAUUACUUUAAAUUUUGUUGUGUCAGUUUUAUUUAAUUCUGUUAGUAUAAGUAUUACUUUUUUUCUGCAUUUGGAAUAUCAGCAUGACGCAUAAAUUUAAUCAAAAUGACUUUUAUAAUUUUUUAUACACUUUUGCAUGAGUUAUACAAUAUACGUACAUUAUUAAUUUUGC